CCCUUAGAUGUUCUGGGCCGCACGCGCGCUACACUGAUUCAUGCAACGAGUUUUGUCCUUGGCUGAAAGGCCUGGGUAAUCUUUGAACGUGAAUCGUGCUGGGGAUAGAUGAUUGCAAUUAUUCAUCUUCAACGAGGAAUUCCUAGUAAACGCAAGUCAUCAGCUUGCAUUGAUUACGUCCCUGCCCUUUGUACACACCGCCCGUCGCACCUACCGAUUGGAUGGUCCGGUGAAGCCUCGGGAUUGUGGUUCUUGCCGCUUUAUUGUGGCGUGACCGCGAGAACUUGUCUAAACCUUAUCAUCUAGAGGAAGGUGAAGUCGUAACA
rnacentral:rRNA from 1 species